GAUGAACGCUGGCGGCGUGCCUAAUACAUGCAAGUCGAGCGAACAGACGAGGAGCUUGCUCCUCUGACGUUAGCGGCGGACGGGUGAGUAACACGUGGAUAACCUACCUAUAAGACUGGGAUAACUUCGGGAAACCGGAGCUAAUACCGGAUAAUAUAUUGAACCGCAUGGUUCAAUAGUGAAAGACGGUUUUGCUGUCACUUAUAGAUGGAUCCGCGCGGCAUUAGCUAGUUGGUAAGGUAACGGCUUACCAAGGCAACGAUGCGUAUCCGACCUGAGAGGGUGAUCGGCCACACUGGAACUGAGACACGGUCCAGACGCCUACGGGAGGCAGCAGUAGGGAAUCUUCCGCAAUGGGCGAAAGCCUGACGGAGCAACGCCGCGUGAGUGAUGAAGGUCUUCGGAUCGUAAAACUCUGUUAUUAGGGAAGAACAAAUGUGUAAGUAACUAUGCACGUCUUGACGGUACCUGAUCAGAAAGCCACGGCUAACUACGUG
rnacentral:rRNA from 1 species